rnacentral:lncRNA from 1 species
CAUACUCUAAUUGCAGGAUAAAUACCAUGAGUAAUUAAUUGCUUGAGUGCAACUUUUGCAACCAGUUGUUCUAUAGUUAUAACAAAGAUCACCUUCUUCCAUUAAUCUUUACCUAGAAAGAGUAAAAAGUCACAAAAGCUAAUGAUUUAUGCUCAACCUUGUCUCUGCCCAUCCUCACCUGCUCAGGAGAUGUUAAUUAAACUGCCUAUAUUAGCUCCCCUGAGCUGCUUCCAUGUUACACUUUUUUAUCCCCUUCCUGAAUCUGGUUCCUUUAAAAGGCUUUCAGUUUUUUCACGUAGGGGAUCACCCCUCACAAGGCAUUCUGAGGCAUAGCCUUUAUUUUAAAGGUCAAAUUUCAUUUCUUUAAAAGCUCUACACUUUUAUUUUUCUAUUCCCAACAAUACAGUAUUCAUAAGGAACCAGAGGUUUCUUCAUCUAAGGAUCCAGAAGUAAUGAUCUACAAAACUUCAUGUGUAAAUCACCAAUUCCUACCAUAGCAAAACCUGUGCUCAAAAUCAUUUCUGCUGGCCUUGCUCCGUGUUCCAUCUUCUGAGACGCUGGCAUACUCUGGGUGGCAAUGCAAACCUCUCCAGGUAGCCAAGCUGGGGCUUCACUGCCACCUGCUCCCAUCUCCCUCCCGUCUGAGCCCCUCCUUUCCUCUCAAAGGUGACCCAUAUUCCAGGGGCAGCGGGCUGGCAGCCCCUCUUGAUGAGCUUCAGUGACUUCCACACAGGACUCUUCACUCCAAUGCUGUCACUGAGAAUAAGUCUGUGACUCAUGUCAGGGAGCACUUAUACCUAGAGGACCAAUUAUUACAGCUGUGCAUGGACUCCUAUUAUUAAGGGUCAAGCAGGGAUCCGGACAGCAACUUCCACAAUCAGAGACUCAGGAGACUCCUGGAGUCAGCCCUGCCCACUUGCCUCUGAGAGCCAUUGUCUAGGAAUGCAGACAGGACACGGUUUCCCCACAAGGAUGCGGCUCUGAGAACCAGGCUCCUGGAAUAUUGCCUCCCGGCAGCCCCCUCCCCACCAUGCCCUCUGAGAUACCCCCUGGGUGAGCCUACAACCCUGACUGCUGUCUACCCAGCAGGGGUGGCUUCUGCUCGCCCUGCCAUCCAAGGGAAGGGGCUGCAGGCACCAACGUCAGACAGAGGCCUGAGCAGAAAUACAGAGAGCUUGCAGACAGGAUGGGGGAACUACACCACACUGAGACCUGACCACAGCCUGGAAAUUCAACCACACUCUCCAAUUACCUUGGGGAGGUCUCCAUGUGCCUUAGAACACAGCAGAAAGAGCACUAGCCUUGGAGUCAGACAGACCCAGUCUUGCACCCGGCUCUCUGUCACCUGGAACAAGCUACUGAAUGUCUCUAAGUUCAGGGCGAGUAUCCACUUCAUGAGUGUUUUGGCAGAUUCAUGAUAUUGCAUGUGACACGUGAUAUUGCAUAAAACCCGACUAUUUUUCUCUAUCUCGGAAACCUACUGUUGACACUGAACCUAUUGCAAUUGUAAUUUUAUUAGUUUGCAAUUUACUUGCAUUUACUGUUAUUGUUGUUGCUGUUUAUAUCCCUCACCAGACUAUAAAAUCCAUGAGAGCACAGACCAUAGCUGCCUUGCUCACAUGCAUUCCAGAAGCUAGCACAUAAUAGGUACUCAAGAACACUAUUUUCUGUAAAAUGUAUAUCCACCCAAUAAAAAUUAGUUUCUCUUCCUCUCUUGGCUCUGCAGAGAAGUCAAAUAUUCCUGACCUAGCCAUCAAAGCUGGGUGGUUGGAUAUUCAUUGCAGCAUUUAUACCCCAAACUCCUGAGAAAGGAGACUGAGGAAACCAGGAGGCACUGCUGAUCACUAGAAACAGUUCCAGUGUUUAUCUAAUGGGAUACUACUAAGUCACACCCCCAGGAGCCACUUUAGAAAGAGACAAUAAACCGCCUCCCUCUGCCAGGACCAAGCAGAGAGAUGCUGCCUCUGCCCCAUCUCCCAGGAGCCUCAGCAAAGGCCCUCCGGCCCAGGGGUGGGCUGCUGGGGUGAGCAAAGCUUCCAGUAAUUGCAACACAGUUUCUUCAAGAGAUGGAAGGAAAAGCAUUUCAAUAAUAAGCAAAGGAGAGGGAAAAUCAAUAAGGAUGUGUGUAAUGAAUUUUUGUUUCCUGAAAUAGCCUGGCAGGAGCCUUGCCAGGAAGAGUUAGGACUAAUCAGUGACAAGAUGAGAGACACAAAUCCAAGAAUAUUAUUCAGCUCUGCAGCCUCCCUGGGUGAAAGAAUGUCAGGGUAAGGAAUUGCAAAGAGCUUAGCCUAUUGUCCAGAAACAUAGGAGAAUCUGGACAAAGGUAACAAUAGCACUUCUACUUGUUUGGGAAGAAACCUGCACUUCUCUGGAAUUUGAGGGGGGUUCUGAGCAGGUUGGACAAAUGGUAACAUUUUCUUUAACCCUCAAGUCAACCACCCCAUCAUCAACACUACAUAAAAGACUAAAUACGGGGCUAUUGCGGGCUGCGUGAUGGUGAUGAGCAAACUGCAACUCUGCCAUUCACUAAUCAUUCACUGUGUAGUCUUGGGUAGGUUACUUAAAACCUCUGAGCCUCAGUUUCCUUCUAUAAAAUAGGGAUCUAAGAAUUCCCAGGUUGUAAAACUGUUGUGAAGAUUAAAUGAGGUAGAAUGUCAAUCACAGCUCAGUGCCUGACACAGGGUAAGCUCCCAAUAAGUGGUUGCUGUUAUUGUCACCAUUACGGUUAAAUAAUCCCAUGUUGCUGUGCGUCCUUGUUAAGAUCACUGAAGCUUCUGCUAGACUGCAUGCCCUUGACAGGAGAGGACCACAUUUUCAUCCUAGAAUACCCUGUACCUGGAAGAGCCAAUAGAUGUAGAAAUAAGGACAAAGUGAUUCUCACUUUCAUAAUCUCCUCUGAACAUCUGAGAUUGUGUGUGUGUUUGUGUGUGUGUGUGUGUGUGUCCCCUGACAAAUGGAGAGAAUUCCCUUACAGGGAUUUAAGUGUCUAACAACUCACUCACCUAUGACAGAGCAAUUAGCCUUGUAUUAGCACUUCUUAAAACCACUCUGAAGUAUUUUCACUUUUUGCCAUAAUUAUGUACAACGUAGUAAAGUGGCUCUGAAGCAUACUAAUUAUCAUCUUUUCUGUAACUACAUUUUUACAUCAACUUUAUUGAGGCACAAUUUACAUAUAAUAAAAUAGACGCACUCUGGUGUACGGUUUGGUGAGUUUUGAUAAAUGUCUACACUCAGGUAACUACUACCUAAAUCACGAUGUAAAAACUUUCCACCACGCAAAUGGGCUCCUUUGUGCCCUUUCCCAGUCAAUCCCCACCUCCACCUCCAGCCCCAGAUAACCACUAGCACAUCUGUUGUAGAUGGGAUGAGUCUUUUCUAGAGUUUUAUUUAAAUGGAAACAUGCCAUAUUUAGUCUUUUAUGUCUGGACUCUUUUGCUCAACAGAACGUGUUUGAAAUUCAUUCAUUUAGCUGCAUGUAUUAUCAAUAGUAUAUUUCCUUCUUAUCGCUAAGCAGUAUUCCAUUGUAUGAAUAUAUUACAUUUUAAAAAAAUCUGUUCACCUAUUGAUUAACUCUUUGGGUUGUUUCCAAUUUUUAACUAUUAUGAAUAAAGCCAC